GAAAGUAAUGUUGCAAACAGGCCAGCAAACACCCUAACUGAAUAAGAACACUUCCUGGGAGGAUCUUAAGAGUGUUCCUGAGAGAUGAACAUUUUUGUAUCUCACCUUUUUAUGUGUAGAAGGAUGCUCUAACUGGCAAACAGGAUGAGAGAACCGAAGGGGACUGAAAGUCUCCCUGAAGCUGUGAUUCACCAUUGCGCUGGCACUGUUGGCUCUGCCUGCUUAAACAGUUCCGUUCUCAAGCCUAGCUGCUGCUUCCCAGCUUUGCUGUGCCUCUCACUUAUGCCAGCCAAGCUCUGUUUGGGACCAAGCUGGAACAUGGCUCCGUGUCUUUUUAGGACGUUACCCAAAUACGCCUGGCAUCACACCAUUCUGUUUUCUUCAAAGUGGUGGAUUAUGCUGAAAUAAAUUUGUAAAUUCC
ensembl:lncRNA